GUAGGUGAACCUGCGGAAGGAUCAUCACUGCAUGCUCUCCGACCUUUUUUUUUCUCCACCUGUGCAUCGUAGAUCAGCGCGCGUGUGUGGCUAGCGCGAGGCGUGGGGUUUGACGAUCCCACGCCCUGCGACUUCCCGCCCGCGCGCAUCCUCUCCCAUUAUUACACGCGGUUUCUCUCCUUAACAAAACAAAAAAAUCGACACAACUUUUAACAACGGAUCUCUUGGUUCUC
rnacentral:misc_RNA from 1 species